AUUGAACGCUGGCGGCAGGCCUAACACAUGCAAGUCGAGCGGAUGAAGGGAGCUUGCUCCUGGAUUCAGCGGCGGACGGGUGAGUAAUGCCUAGGAAUCUGCCUGGUAGUGGGGGAUAACGUCCGGAAACGGGCGCUAAUACCGCAUACGUCCUGAGGGAGAAAGUGGGGGAUCUUCGGACCUCACGCUAUCAGAUGAGCCUAGGUCGGAUUAGCUAGUUGGUGGGGUAAAGGCCUACCAAGGCGACGAUCCGUAACUGGUCUGAGAGGAUGAUCAGUCACACUGGAACUGAGACACGGUCCAGACUCCUACGGGAGGCAGCAGUGGGGAAUAUUGGACAAUGGGCGAAAGCCUGAUCCAGCCAUGCCGCGUGUAUGAAGAAGGUCUUCGGAUUGUAAAGCACUUUAAGUUGGGAGGAAGGGCAGUAAGUUAAUACCCUGCUGUUUUGACGUUACCAACAGAAUAAGCACCGGCUAACUUCGUG
rnacentral:rRNA from 1 species